CCAAAACUGAAAUUGACAUUCCUGCAAAUUUUGACUACCCGUAAUUAUUGUUGUAACAUACCCCGAUUGCAGUGACAUCUCCUUUUCCAGAGAGAUAUUACCAUUUCAAA